rnacentral:lncRNA from 1 species
CUUUAUAAAUUGAUCAAAAGGCACUCUACAACUUUUAAUCUUCAAUGUCAUUUAACCUAUGUUUCACCUUAUAAAAUGCCCCAAAACAAUAUUUUUAGAUUAUUUUUGUUGACACUUUAAAGUUUUUAGCUGUUGGUCUAGAUCUUAUGUCUUACAAGGGUAGUUGGUAACAUUUACUAGAAGAAUUGUCAGCAAUAGAUAAUGUUCUUUUGGCCCCACCAUACCUUAAUAUGAAAUUAUUCAAACUAUUCUUCCAAUCUUUCCAUGAGUAAUUUCCAUCAUUUUGAUUUUAAUUGACCUCAGGUUUGAGGUCUGUUGAUCUUUGAUAGAAUUGUCUUUUGUUCAAAUACCAAAUACUGCAUAUUGGUUAUUUUUUGCAUCAGGUUUAGUUUGAUGAUUAAAAGGCCAUUGAAGGAGAUGAUAGACCUCCCCUAUGUUUAAUGUUCAUAUUUUACUGCCUUGUACAAAUCAUUGACACUUUCAGGGUUAAAUAGCCUACAGUGAAAAUUAAACGCACACAAACUUUCACAUAUAUAUGCAGUAUUGCUGUAAGCAGGCAAGUAAUUUUAAUAUAAAAUUGAGAAUGUCAACAAUAUAACAUUUAUUUAUAUUGACUGGCAGUUUGUAUCAUGAAUCAUACAGUGUUUAAGCUUAAUUCUCCUUAUUUUUAUGUUAACUGUUUCUCUAAGAUAGCAACCUGGUAUGUAACUUGUUACUACAAAAAUAGAAAAGUAUAAAUUUACAGGUAAAAAAGUUUACGAGAAAACUGUGGAUUCAUUUUUUUUUCAUGGACAAAAAUUUUUGAUGGAUUGAGGAAAAAUGACAUAAUUUCUUUGAUAUUUGAUUCUUUGGUUUUGUCAAAGUCUUCUAUACAAGUCUAAAGUAAAUGUGUACUUUGAUGGACACUUUAAUUUUUGUUUACUUAUACCCAAGAAAUCCCUGAACAAUAAAAAAAAUCCACAGUAUUUAAGGAGUAGGUUCAGUAAGACCCCUUUUUGGCCCCAAAAUAUAACAGUUUUACAAAAUAGUGAAAAUGUAAUCUUUUGGCUAUUUACUGGAAAGUAGAAUACUUCUACUACAUAAUAUGGGCUGUUUUUGACAAUACAAUGCACAUAUAUCGGGUACUAGCAUCAUUAAGUCAUGCUAAAUUACUGAAAUCUUCACAAUUUUAGCAUUUUAGUUAAAUUUUAGAUGGUUUCCGUCUUAAAUGAAAGUGGCCGCAUUCGUGUUCAUUCUAUAUAUUGAAAUGUAAGUUGUAUUUGAUGAUAAUACGUAACAUAUUUAAAGGUUGAGGAUGAACACGGAUGUGGCCACUUUCAUUUUUGACAAAAACCAUCUGAAAAGUGACGUUUUUUGGCAUAUUUGAUAGAUUUUUCAUGUGUAAGCUUGAAUCGGAGCGUUUUUAAUGACUAAAUCAAUUAAAGUCUUUCACAUAAACUAACUGAAUCAAUUGAAAUAGACACUUAAGUGUUUAGAAAGUGUCCAAAAUCUUUCGUUAGAAUUGAACCUGAAAUUUGAGGCCGGAAUCAGCCCUUACUCCUUGAUUCAUAUAGAUUUUCUUAAUUGAUAUAUAUUUUUUUUGUAAAGCAAAUAAACAAUUUUAAUUCAAAUUAUUGCAAACAAAGAAUUUUUUGGGUUUUGGCAAUUUUUUUUAUGAAACUGUUAUUUCAAUAUUGUAGUCAACAUAUUAGUUUUGAAUCUUUAUUUGAUCUGAAUGGCAAG